rnacentral:rRNA from 1 species
CGCGUAGACGGUUUUUAAGUCUGGAGUGAAAGUCCUGCUUUCAAGGUGGGAAUUGCUUUGGAGACUGGAAGGCUUGGGUGCGGAAGAGGUAAGUGGAAUUCCCAGUGUAGCGGUGAAAUGCGUAGAGAUUGGGAAGAACACCAGUGGCGAAGGCGACUUACUGGGCCGUAACUGACGUUGAUGCGCGAAAGCGUGGGGAGCGAACA